UUGCCGUCUUUUCAAUUAACAUUAUAUAUUGCCUACUUUGAAUUUCUAUUGCAGAUAUUAUGUCACACCAUUUGGUGAAGCUUCGGUAGAACGGUAGCACUACCGUUUCAAUUUUUUUUUGAAAUUCAAAAUCACUAAAGUAUAUCUCUUUUGGAUUUCAAAUUUUCAUUUAAUUACAAUGAAUUCUCGCCUCAAAUCUAGUGCCAAGAAGUCUAAAUUGGAAUCUUUUCUCUCUUUGCUCACAUGGAGUUUCUCCAUUUUUUCUUUUUCUUGCUGCACAACAUCCCAACCAUUUUGGGUAUUAAUUUGAAACAAAUCUGCUCAAAGUCUCAAGCAAAUCUGAAACAAAUUUACUCAAAUAUCGCUCAUUAAAUUAUGAACGUAUUUUACUGUUCGAAACCUCACGCUCUUAAUUUCAAACGUUAGAGGUAAAAAUCCCGCCCAUGAACCCUACUUCUUCACCUAUAAAUACUUGCAUUUGAAAUAUACUGGAAAAAGAGCUUUUGGAGCUGUUGCACCUCUCUUUAAACCCACAAGCUUCGGCCCCCUUCUUUAACCUUAAGCCCUAGAGCCGCCCACUUUCACCCUAAAGUCGAGAGUUUUCAGCCACCUCUGUUAGUGCAUUUCCUUUCCUCUAAUUAAAAAACAAAGUUCUCUAGCUCUCUUUGUAUUUUUAGCCAUUACAAUGGUUUAUUUGCUUAUUCCGGUGACUAACAAUCGUCUAAGGUAGCGAGUUCGAGGUCGGAGUUCGAUAUUGCAUCUAAGACCCGUCUCAGUUUGCUGUCUUGUAAAAGGUUCGUAUCUUCUCCUAUCACUCUCGUUUUGAUUCUGUUUUUUUGAUGUCUGAUGCGUGUUUGUUGCGAGGAUUGUUAGCUUCUAUUAAGCUUUUAUGUACAUGUUUGUUUAAGGGAAUGAUCUGUGACUAAAGUUGUUAGCAGUAAUCCUGUAAGGAGAUUAUGUUCUGGUGUGUAUUGUUAAAAGCAUGCCCGACAUAUAUUUGAUGAAAUGCUCACAUGAAAAUACUUUUUUCCUUUUGCAUACUUCUCUAUUAGAUGCCAUAAUUUUAAGAAGGAUUUUAUCAUGAGCUAGUUGCCCUGCAAUAGAUUUAUUUGCCAUUGUGAUUCAAGACCUUUUUCCUAAAUAUCGUGUUUAAAAUUUCAAAAAAUUUGUUUAAGAAUAGAUUUAUUUAAAUGCACACUGUUAAGAGAAGACUUGAUUUACUUUAGUAUUAGGUAUCCAAAAUUCUUUCUUUAGGAAACAUAGUUAUAGAACUUUUGUGCCUAUUUCUUUGUACUAGUUAGUAUUUGGAUUUAAAAAUGUCGAUGACUUUGUUAAAAUAAAAUUUACGUCUUGAUGAAAUGUGUUCAUGUUGCUGUGUGAUUAUCACUGGAAGUUUAUAUUUUUGUCAUUUGAGAGUUUUUGCUACUAGUCUAAAUAAAUAGCUGGAAAUAUUUAUCUUUCCUAUAGUUGUGUGUUUGUCUAAUGACAAGAAGUAUGGCUAGAAUUUCAUAAAACAAUUUGACACUAGGACGGCUUUGCAUAUUUUAUUCUUGAUAUAUUGUUAAGAAUCAAGUUCCACUCUCUAAUCCUUCUUAUCCUUGCAUAUGUUAAUUGAACUCGUACGUUAUUUUGCUAAUUUUUUAUUUCUCUCUUCCUUUACAAGUACACUUUGAAGCAUAAUGGAGUCUUAAUGCUAGACUCCAAUACCCGCAUAUGGAGUCUUCGAGACUCGUAAAGAUGGAGUCUCAUCACCACCAGAUAGAGUCAAUACACGACAUAUAUCCUUAGAAUGUACUGGAUAGCAGAAAAACAAGCGAAACGCUUGGGGGCGCCUAUGACGUCCUUCUUUUUGUUCCUACCACUUAUUUUAUCUUAAUAUUUGUAAUUUUCGAUUUGCUUUUUUUGUGUUUUCUUAAUUUUUAAAAUUUUAUGUUGGAGCCUAUUAUUAUUAUAUAAGAAAUAGCUGAGUUUUAUUUAAUCACUUAGUAUUCUCACCUUAUUUAUGAGUAUCGUACUUAUUUUAUCACUAG
rnacentral:lncRNA from 1 species